rnacentral:rRNA from 1 species
UACGUAGGGUCCGAGCGUUGUCCGGAAUUACUGGGCGUAAAGAGCUCGUAGGCGGUUCGUCGCGUCGGCUGUGAAAUCCCGAGGCUCAACCUCGGGUCUGCAGUCGAUACGGGCGGACUGGAGUUCGGUAGGGGAGACUGGAAUUCCUGGUGUAGCGGUGAAAUGCGCAGAUAUCAGGAGGAACACCAGGUGGCGAAGGCGGGUCGCUCGUCGGGCGAACUGACGCUGAGGAGCGAAAGCGUAGGGGAGCAAACGGG